UAUAUUAAAUUCUAAUUCUAAUAUUUUUUAUUCUAUAAUUAUUCUAUAAUUACGUAUUAAAUACAUUCGAUUCAAACAAAUCGUUUAUUUUCACUAUAAAAUAUGCCAAUACCACCAAAUAUCGGAUACGAUUCAAAUGUAUCGAAAUAACGUACCGCCAUUGCUUUGCUGUUUCUCAGACGAGUUCAUUAUAACCUGCUCGUCGUAGUUUGUUGAAAUGUCCACACUGUUGGCGAUCAUGUUUCGCGAGUUGUUCGUGAACAGCGUUCGUGCGGACGCGGCAUAAGGUAUUCAUCCUAUGCGGUAUCUAAUUUCGCAGCACUCUGUCCUUGUUCAACCUAUUGUCGACGAGCGAUUCGUAUAGAUGUCGUAUAAGGCUAUUUAUUUUUUACGAUUUAUCAGCAACUUCAGUUCGAUUAAAAUUGUCAAAGAUUCGAAAUACGAACGGAUCGAUCGAAGAUGAACGAAUUGAAAUUGCAAUUCUAAAUUUCACAAGAAUUUAGCUCUCUGGUCUCUGUAUAUGUAUACAAUCGAUAUCCACGAAUCAUAUUCACGAAACGUCAUGCGAAAGAAGGUUAAGUCGCACGCUUCGAAACUGGUAUAUCAAAAGUGGCACAACGGUAAAAAGAGGUUAUGUACUAUACACGCAUCUAAAUGAUAAAUGCAUUUGUAUUUAUCGGUAUCUAUCAACGUUUCAAACGAACAAUAUAAUUCAAGCGAAAUGAUUUAAUCGUAAUUAAAAUCAAUUGGUUGCUGCCUGUUAAUGAGUUGCUUAAAUAGAAUGUUAUUAUCAAAAAAAUUAAUUAACAGGGAUAAUAAUAUAUCUAAAUAGAAAAUUAAUAUACGGAGUGAAUAAAUGAAAAUUCAUGUAUAUUCUUAUAUUCUCUGCUAUUUAAAAUUAUGAUAAAUUAUGUUAAUAACAAUCGUUAAAUCUUUCAAGCAUUAUUUAUAUGAGAUAUUAUCAGAGAAAUUAUACCAAAAAAAAAAAAAGG